GAAAUGCGAUAAGUAAUGUGAAUUGCAGAAUUCAGUGAAUCAUCGAAUCUUUGAACGCACAUUGCGCCCGCCAGCACUCUGGCGGGCAUGCCUGUCCGAGCGUCAUUUCAACCCUCGAGCCCCCCUCCCCCCCGCGGGGGGGUGUGGCCCGGCGUUGGGGGACGGCCACAGCGCGCCGCCCCCGAAAUGCAGUGGCGAUCCCGCCGCGUCCUCCCCUGCGCAGUAGCUCCCCAGAGAACCUCGCACCGGCGGCGCGGCGGCGGUCACGCCGUGAAACGACACACAUCUCAAGAGUUGACCUCGGAUCAGGUAGGGAUACCCGCUGAACUUAA
rnacentral:misc_RNA from 1 species